AGAACGAACGCUGGCGGCAGGCCUAACACAUGCAAGUCGAACGCCCUCGCAAGAGGGAGUGGCAGACGGGUGAGUAACGCGUGGGAACAUACCCUUUGGUUCGGAAUAGCUCAGGGAAACUUGGAUUAAUACCGGAUACGCCCUUUUUGGGGAAAGAUUUAUCGCCGAAGGAUUGGCCCGCGUCUGAUUAGCUAGUUGGCGGGUAACGGCCCACCAAGGCGACGAUCAGUAGCUGGUCUGAGAGGAUGAUCAGCCACAUUGGGACUGAGACACGGCCCAAACUCCUACGGGAGGCAGCAGUGGGGAAUAUUGGACAAUGGGCGCAAGCCUGAUCCAGCCAUGCCGCGUGAGUGAUGAAGGCCUUAGGGUUGUAAAGCUCUUUUACCUGGGAAGAUAAUGACGGUACCAGGAGAAUAAGCCCCGGCUAACUUCGCGCCAGCAGCCGC
rnacentral:rRNA from 1 species